AAAAAAAUAAUUAUGUUUUGAUUCGAUGCCUUUGAUUUAAUUUAGUAUCUGUUAAUUGUUGCCAGUCAUUAUGAUCGUACACUAUAUUAAUAUUCUUUAGAGAGAGAGAGAGAUAAAAUAAGAGUAUGAUUGAGACAGAGAUGUAGCCGCUAUCAUCAUAUUCAUAUAACAUUAAUAAUGAGUCUUCCUUUUGUCUGUGUGAUUGAGGCGGUGUCUGCUGCUUUAAUUGUGUGAAUUUAAUUAUAAAUGUGUAUCGCAAGUCGAUUGUAUUAUUUGUAGAUUAGGGUGAAGAUGGGUGGAAAAAUGGCGGAUUUAGAGUUUGUGAUAGCAAUGGCAAUCAUAUUUGGUGCAUUGAAUUCAAAUUUGAUUGAAGGAAGAAGUAUGUUGUGUCAGAACCGGGUACACGAUCAAGAUAUUACAAAAUAAUAUUUUGAGAAAUUACAACUCAAAAUAAUUGAAAUAUUACAAAGUAAAUAAUUUGAGAAAUUACAACUCAAAUAAUUUGAUACAACUGAAAUACACUGUAUAAAUAAAUUAUACGUAUAAACAAAAUCGAGUCGAGAUGAAUCUCUUCCCGCAAGAAGAUUAUCGCCCCGGUAGUGCUCUUCGGUUUGGCGUAUCUUCCCCAAAGGUAAAACGACUACGUCUCGGCGGAUGUAGCACCACAAUCCGGCGAGCUCCGGCGAACUGAAUAAGGAUCGAAAACUGAGCUAGAGGUGGAAUGCAGAAUGCAGACUAUUUUGUGAGUUGUGAGUUGUGAGUUUU
rnacentral:lncRNA from 1 species